rnacentral:rRNA from 1 species
AUUGAACGCUGGCGGUAGGCCUAACACAUGCAAGUCGAACGGCAGCACAGUAGUAGCUUGCUCUUACGGGUGGCGAGUGGCGGACGGGUGAGGAAUACAUCGAAAUCUACUUUUUCGUGGGGUAUAACGUAGGGAAACUUACGCUAAUACCGCAUACGACCUACGGGUGAAAGCAGGGGAUCUUCGGACCUUGCGCGAUUGAAUGAGCCGAUGUCGGAUUAGCUAGUUGGCGGGGUAAAGGCCCACCAAGGCGACGAUCCGUAGCUGGUCUGAGAGGAUGAUCAGCCACACUGGAACUGAGACACGGUCCAGACUCCUACGGGAGGCAGCAGUGGGGAAUAUUGGACAAUGGGCGCAAGCCUGAUCCAGCCAUACCGCGUGGGUGAAGAAGGCCUUCGGGUUGUAAAGCCCUUUUGUUGGGAAAGAAAAGCAGCAGGUUAAUACCCGGCUGUUCUGACGGUACCUAAAGAAUAAGCACCGGCUAACUUCGUG